UACGUAGGGGGCUAGCGUUGUCCGGAAUCAUUGGGCGUAAAGCGCGUGUAGGCGGCCCGGUAAGUCCGCUGUGAAAGUCGGGGGCUCAACCUUUGAAAGCCGGUGGAUACUGGAUGGCUAGAGUACGGAAGAGGCGAGUGGAAUUCCUGGUGUAGCGGUGGAAUGCGCAGAUAUCAGGAGGAACACCAAUAGCGAAGGCAGCUCGCUGGGACGUUACUGACACUGAGGCGCGAAAGCGUGGGGAGCGAACAGG
rnacentral:rRNA from 1 species